UCAAAUUGCUACCCCCAUUUUGAUUUAAUUGUAAUCAUUAUUGAUUCUUCUACCUCCUUGACUUCUACUUCUUAAAUAUCAGUGCCUCUGCUUCUAGUCCUUUCGCCCUCCAAAACUUUCACACACAUGUCUAAUCAUCUUCUCAAAACUUUGCUGUGAUCACUAAAUGUUUCUCAGCAAGGGAGUAUUAAAAGAAGUUCCCAAAUCAUUCCUGAUAAUUUAAAUUCAUUAGCUUUGCAUUUAAGAUUCUUCAGUGUAGCUGGCUGUCUCUUUCAAACUCAACAGAGUAAAACUGGUCUGUUUUACUAUCUUUGUUUCUAUCUUAUGCCUGUGCCCCUUUCAUUGGAACAUAGAGAUUUCUAAUAAAAUCCUUCCCUUUCUUCAAGGGCAAGCUUGAAAGCCCCAACCCCAAGCAUCCCAUCUAGCAUCUACUACCCAUGUAGCUUGUUGCUGGUUACCCACACAGGGCUUUGUGACAGCAUGUGCCA
rnacentral:lncRNA from 1 species